rnacentral:rRNA from 1 species
AACGAACGCUGGCGGCAGGCUUAACACAUGCAAGUCGAACGGGCCCUUCGGGGUCAGUGGCAGACGGGUGAGUAACGCGUGGGAACGUGCCCCUCAGUUUGGGAUAACCCAGGGAAACUUGGGCCAAUACCGGAUACGUGCGAGAGCAGAAAGGUUUAUCGCUGAAGGAUCGGCCCGCGUCUGAUUAGCUGGUUGGUAGGGUAAUGGCCUACCAAGGCGACGAUCAGUAGCUGGUCUGAGAGGAUGAUCAGCCACAUUGGGACUGAGACACGGCCCAAACUCCUACGGGAGGCAGCAGUGGGGAAUAUUGGACAAUGGGCGCAAGCCUGAUCCAGCCAUGCCGCGUGAGUGAUGAAGGCCUUAGGGUUGUAAAGCUCUUUCAGUGGGGACGAUAAUGACGGUACCCGCAGAAGAAGCCCCGGCUAACUUCGUGCCAGCAGCCGCGGUAA